UAAAUGUUUGUAAAGGAUUUUUAUUUAUUCUACUUGAUGUUUUUCAGCAUUUUCGUGACUGAAGAUCGCAAAAUAUAUUAUGUCUUAUGAAAGAAAAGAAUGCUGUUCUGACUAGAAUAGUGGCUAACAUCAAAAUAAAAGGGGUCCAAGAAGUAGGUCAACAUUUCGAAGGGAGGGAAGAUCAACCAACUAGUUCUCCAGUUGACGAAGGGAUUGAAAAUGGGGAAAUUCAGAAAUUGACCAAGAACCACAGUACUUUUGGAAGAAAACCUUUUAUCGACUUUUUGAGGAAAUUUUGCAACAACUUAAAUUAAGAAGAUUUAUGUCAAGUCCGAAGCAUAUUGGCAGUAUCAUUUUGAAUGAUAAGACACCGCAAUAUCAAAAAAACUAUAAUACGCGUUGUUUAUAUCGUCAUUGUCUUGGAGCGUCAAGUGAUCGUCGGGGACGUCAGAAAAGCACGAGGCGGAUUUCGAAGACACACGUGGUGAAAGCUGAAAAUGGAGCUAGUAUGUGAGGAAUGUGUACGUAUACACACGUGUACACUUUUACAGACAAACAGACAAACUUGUCAGUGAUAGCGAUGAGGCUUCACUUGAUAUACAAGACGAGAAUUAUAAGCCCAAUAUAUGUAUGUAUAUGGGUUUUAUGUGAAACUAACACAAAGGUUGUGUUGGUGUGUCCCGUCGGUGAAAUGCACGCGCAAAGUCGACUUCGUAGGUCACCACGUUCUCUGCGCUCUCUCCAAAACAUUCUUUCCCUCUCUGUCACGCUCUGUUUUUCUCCACUAUCGUUGCCUCUCUCUCUCUCUCUCUCUCUCUCUCUCUCUCUCUCUCUCUCUCUCUCUCUCUCUCUCUCUCUCUCUCUCUCUCUCUCUCUCUCUCUCUCUCUCUCUCUCUCUCUCUCUCUCUCUCUCUUUUCUCGUAGUGCUACCUCUUUUUCUCUUAUCAACUUGCCACUUUGCUUUUCCCCCCAUCGGUUCUCCUCUACCCUAC